AGCUCUGGAGAGCCAGUGGGUAGUGGUUUGACUGUGACUCAGGAAACCAGGGUUCAAAUCCCUGCUGAGUGA